AAACGAAGCCAUUGCAAUUUUUGGCACGACAUUUUUGUGGACAUUAUAUUUAGGAGGUGUUUUCAUCUUUUCGGACAUAACCUAGCUAAAUAUAUGUUAAAAUUUCAAGAAUGGAGACAGAUGGAAUUACACCUUCGAUAGAUACAACCCAAACCUACCUGUUUACCUACGAUGGGAAAUUGAUUCGAUCACUCCCUGAUAGAUCAAUUGUAUAUUACAACUCAGAAAAUGUUUCAAAUGUGGUCAAAAACCCUUUUAUGACGACUCUAUGAUAACAAAAAUACCGAUACAUCAAUAGGAGUAAAUCAGUUGAAUUCCAGUUUAUCAGUCACAUUUUGUAGUAGAAAUAAUACAAAUAUAACCAAUGGUAUAGGUGAAUUAGACCAUAUAGGUUCAUACACGAAUUUUACUGAGACCAAUGAUAGAAAUAUAGAUAGAAACACAACCAGAGAUGUAGGUAGACUAGUCUCUAGUUUUCCUGUCAUUUCAAAUGAAAAUGAAUUCAAUAAUAUUCAUAGAAAUAGAAACAUAACCAUAUAUGAUGAUGUACACAACUAUCCUUAUUAUUUAGAUCAAUUGGAUGUUUAUCGUAUUUUUGAUGAGGCCCAUAUUUCUAUUCAGUUGUCCAAAUCUGUUGUUCUAGUUGAUGAUUUCGACAAUGACUUGGUUGAAUUGGAAUCAAUGGGCAAUCCAACAACACGGAUGUAAUGUAUAACUAGUGAUUGAUGAUAUAAACAGCCACAUCAAAUAUUAAACAAUUUAUUUUAUAUACAAUAUCUAUAAAAAUGUUUUUUUUUACUUUAUUUUUUUUAAGCUUCUGUAGUGCUAGUAUGAAUCUGAUGUAUUAGAACACCUGUGAGUAAUGAACCAGCAGAAACUAAACUAUGUUUUGGUUUCUUAAACUGCUGGUGAACGGUGUAAUACAUUAAUUUAUAUUUAUACAUUUACAAAUGAGGUAUGUAGCAAUCGAUUUUCAUUUAAUUUCUCUAAGCCAAAAUGUUAUGUCAAAAUGUCGAAAGUCUUCAAACAGCCUAUUCUUCAGUGAGUGUCAUUGAAUGCUUGCUCUGUCAUCUGAUGGACAGUUAGACGGAGCUACAUGUACCACCAGUGCAAACACAGUAUGCCAUAAUCUAAACCUCCCUAAAUGUGAUAUACAUUUUAUCGAUAGCGUGAUGAAACUUCCUUGGUAUAAUGCCUUGAAUGUGAUUCUAUAUGAGGAUCUCUCUUGAUUGUUAACCAUGAGCAAGUGACAGUUAAUUUCCAAAGUUUCCUCCGGUGAUGGCCAGCUGCAGUUUCUUCAGGAUGUUUUCAAAAUAUUUUGAACGUUACAAUUAGCAACAACAGAGAAAAAUUUGGACAAAAUGUGAUGCUCAAUUCAUUUGAAUGACUUUUUAAAGGACUACGUCAUAGAUGAAGUUGCGUGCUUACAUGUCAUUUUAUUUCCAUUAGGCAUGUUUAAUAUUCCUCACAUCAUACAUUUAUUGCUUCAACGUUUUGUUUUGAAACAUUAUACUUUCUAUUGAAGAUUAAUAUUAAUUUAAAGUUUACUACUGUAUACUUGGAAUUGUUAUUAGGAUAUGUUUUUCAACUAUGUCUUUGGAUUUAUGACGGAACUUUGCCUACGUAUCCAUUUUUAUUUCAAGUUACAAGAUCCCUCUGCUUUUGUUGUUGUUGUUUUGUAUUUUUUAAAUUAAUUUGAAACUGUAUAAAAUGGUGAUCCCCGAUCUUCUGAUACGGAUUUAUUUACCUUUGAUCCUCAGUAUGGUCCGAUAAAUUUAAUUUAUCAGGAUUCGUUUAGGUUUUUCUAUAAAUCAGCCUUUUAUGUAGACAUAUUUAUAAUUUAUUUAGUCAUCUAGUGUUUCAUUUACGAUCAAUGUUUCAAAGAAAUGCUUGGCUAAGUGGUACAACGGAUAUAAACUACAAAGUGGUACAUGUUAACGGGUUCGAGCUACCAAUACACCGGUACAUCCUUUUUAAAAAUAUACCAAUCUCCACUUCUUAAAUUCUUCCUUUUAAAUCCAUAGUGGACAAAAUUGCAAAAAUGUAAAAUUUAACAUCAUGAAUUUGAAUUUCUUUUUAUAUUAUUCUAUUUGAUAGGUUUAAAGGACAAAUAACAUUUUUAUGAUAAAAACAAUUCUUUGAGACUGAGGAUUGGAAAACCUUAACUAGAUAUAUUAACAAGUUAUAUAGUUUAUGUUAUUUUUAAUAUAAAUGCAGUUCGAAAUAUU
rnacentral:sRNA from 1 species